GGCUUUGUCCCGUGCGCUCCUCGGGAGCAGGGCCCAGGCUGGCACAGCCCCUGCCCUUACUCCUGCACCCCAGGGCCGCCGGGUCCUGUGCUGAGGAGCUGGGAGGCUGGCGGGGAAGGGAAAGGGGUCCCCGACCACUGUCUCCAGCGAGCAGAGUGGGUACGCCGCUGGGGUACGGGCGUGCUCAGCAAAGUAGGGCAGCUUUUGCCACGAGCAAAGCUCUGCACCUUAAGUCACUGAAGGCUUGUGCGUAGGUAAGAGGCAAAGCCACGCUUCUGGGAUGAGAGACCACGCUGCCCUGCCCAAGUAAUAAGCUGGAAAACACAAGCACAGCUCCUUGGCCUGCUGUGUUUGCAAGUGCCUGGGGUACAAAUGAGGCGCAGCAGCCUGUACUAACAAGAUUGCCAGAAGCCAGACUGGGGAGUGAGGAGCUGUUCUGGGAACAUACUCCCAGACUGGUCACCAUGCCUGCCCCCAGCUGUGAUCAAUUCCCCAGUAACCUUCACCAGGUUAACCUGCAACAUGCCUGACAGGAAUCCAGACACCUCAGUUGGCUGAGGCAAAGAAAAUAUUUCCUCCCCAGCCUAGCACAUUUUCACUGUGACAAAUGGGUGUCCAGGUCUCUUCACACAUAGCACAAUAGCUUUGUGCCAGAGUCUUUGCCAGGCUAGUCUCUUGUCUUUGGCCCUUAAAAUUCUCAUCUAAGGAAAUACUCCAGCUCCUAUUGAUUCUGAGCUACUUCUGUGCCUGCACAAAGGUUUAGCCUCUGAUUGCAAAUGGAGCAUGCAAGAGAUUAACAACCCUAUGGAUUUAAUCUCAGGGUUUAUGAAAUGCUUCUCCUACACGUGCAAGCAAAGCAAUCAGCUGCUGGCUGGAGCGUUCAGAGGCACGGGGCUUGGUGUGAGCUGUGUGUCUCCAGGUGUCAUGGAGAUGUUAAACAGCUGUCCCGUACCUUUGCUGGCAAGCUGA
rnacentral:lncRNA from 1 species